rnacentral:rRNA from 1 species
AGCGAACGCUGGCGGCAGGCUUAACACAUGCAAGUCGAACGCCCCGCAAGGGGAGUGGCAGACGGGUGAGUAACACGUGGGAACGUACCCUUUGGUUCGGAAUAACUUGGGGAAACUCAAGCUAAUACCGGAUAAGCCCUUAUGGGGAAAGGUUUACUGCCGAAGGAUCGGCCCGCGUCUGAUUAGCUAGUUGGUGAGGUAAUGGCUCACCAAGGCGACGAUCAGUAGCUGGUCUGAGAGGAUGAUCAGCCACACUGGGACUGAGACACGGCCCAGACUCCUACGGGAGGCAGCAGUGGGGAAUAUUGCACAAUGGGCGAAAGCCUGAUGCAGCGACGCCGCGUGAGGGAUGAAGGUCUUCGGAUUGUAAACCUCUUUCAGUAGGGACGAAGCGAAAGUGACGGUACCUAAAGAAGAAGCACCGGCUAACUACGUGCCAGCAGCCGCGGUAA